GGGUAGAAGUACUCUUCGCUCAGGUUGUUUUACGUAUCUUAACCCAGAUAGAACCUUUUCGCCUAGGGGGAUCCAGCUCAUAGUUCCGGGUAGAAGUACUCUUUGCUUAGGAUGUUUUACGUAGCUUAACCUAGGUAGAACCUUUUCGCCUAGGGGGAUCCAGCUCAUAGUUCCGGGUAGAAGUACUCUUCGCUCAGGAUGUUUUACCUAGCUUAACUUGGGUAGAACCUUUUCCCCUAGGGGGAUGCAGCUCAUAGUUCCGGGUAGAAGUACUCUUUACUCAGGGUAUUUUUACGUAGCUUAACUCAGGUAGAACCAUUUCGCCUAGAGGGAUCCAGCUCAUAGUUUCGGGGUGCAAGUACUCUUCGCUCAUGAUGUUAUAUGCAGCUUAACCUAGGUAUAACCUUUUCGCCUAGGGGGAUCCAGCUCAUAGUUCCGGGUAGAAGUACUCUUCGCUCAGGAUGUUUUACAUAGCUUAACCUAGGUAGAACCUUUUUUCUUAGGGGGAUCCAACUCAUAUUUUCGGGUAGAAAUACUCUUUGCUCAGGAUGUUUUACGUAGCUUAACCCAGAUAGAACCUUUUUUGCUUAGGGGGAUCCAACUCAUAGUUCCGGGUAGAAGUACUCUACGCUCAGGAUGUUUUACGUAGCUUAACCCAGGUAGAACCUUUUCGCCUAGGGGAACCAUCUCAUUGUUCUGGGUAGAAGUAUUCUUCUCUCAAGUUGUUUUAUGUAGCUUAAACUAGGUAGAACCUUUUUGCGUAAGGGGAUGCAGCUCAUAGUUCCGGGUAGAAGUACUCUUCGCUCAAGAUGUUUUACGCAGCUUAACCCAGGUAGAACCUUUUCGC
rnacentral:lncRNA from 1 species